rnacentral:rRNA from 1 species
UGGGGAAUAUUCCGCAAUGGACGAAAGUCUGACGGAGCAACGCCGCGUGAGUGAUGAAGGUUUUCGGACUGUAAAGCUCUGUUGUUUAGGACGAAAGUGCCUGUUGCAAAUAGUUACAGGUAUUGACGGUACUGAACGAGGAAGCCACGGCUAACUACGUGCCAGCAGCCGCGGUAAUGCGUAGGUGGCAAGCGUUGUCCGGAAUUAUUGGGCGUAAAGAGCAUGUAGGCGGGAAUCUAAGUCUGUUGUGAAAAUGCGGGGCUCAACCCCGUAUUGCGAUGGAAACUGGGUUUCUUGAGUGCAGGAGAGGAAAGGGGAAUUCCCAGUGUAGCGGUGAAAUGCGUAGAUAAUGGGAGGAACACCAGUGGCGAAGGCGCCUUUCUGGACUGUGUCUGACGCUGAGAUGCGAAAGCCAGGGUAGCGAACGG